rnacentral:rRNA from 1 species
AUUGAACGCUGGCGGCAGGCCUAACACAUGCAAGUCGAGCGAGCGGCGGACGGGUGAGUAAUGUAUGGGGACUGCCCGAUGGAGGGGGAUACCUACUGGAAACGGUGGCUAAUACCGCAUACUAUCGGAUAACCCAUAUGGGAUUAGCUAGUAGGUGGGGUAAAGGCUAACCUAGGCGACGAUCUCUAGCUGGUCUGAGCGGAUGAUCAGCCACACGGGGACGGAAAAACGGCCCAGACUCCUACGGAGGAAGCAGUGGGGAAUAUUGCACAAGGGGCGCAACCCUGACGCAGCCAUGCCGCGUGUAUGAAGAAGGCCUUAGGGUUGUAAAGUACUUUCAGUCGGGAGGCGUUACCGACAGAAGAAGCACCGGCUAACUCCGUGCCAGCAGCCGCGGUAAUAC